rnacentral:rRNA from 1 species
GAUGAACGCUGGCGGCGUGCCUAAUACAUGCAAGUCGAGCGAACAGACGAGGAGCUUGCUCCUCUGACGUUAGCGGCGGACGGGUGAGUAACACGUGGAUAACCUACCUAUAAGACUGGGAUAACUUCGGGAAACCGGAGCUAAUACCGGAUAAUAUAUUGAACCGCAUGGUUCAAUAGUGAAAGACGGUUUUGCUGUCACUUAUAGAUGGAUCCGCGCCGCAUUAGCUAGUUGGUAAGGUAACGGCUUACCAAGGCGACGAUGCGUAGCCGACCUGAGAGGGUGAUCGGCCACACUGGAACUGAGACACGGUCCAGACUCCUACGGGAGGCAGCAGUAGGGAAUCUUCCACAAUGGGCGAAAGCCUGACGGAGCAACGCCGCGUGAGUGAUGAAGGUCUUCGGAUCGUAAAACUCUGUUAUUAGGGAAGAACAGAUGUGUAAGUAACUAUGCACGUCUUGACGGUACCUAAUCAGAAAGCCACGGCUAACUACGUG